AUUGAACGCUGGCGGCAGGCCUAACACAUGCAAGUCGAACGAGUGGCGGACGGGUGAGUAAUGUAUGGGAAACUGCCUGAUGGAGGGGGAUAACUACUGGAAACGGUAGCUAAUACCGCCUAACAUCAGAUGUGCCCAGAUGGGAUUAGCUAGUGGGUGGGGUAAUGGUUGACCUAGGCGACGAUCCAUAGCUGGUCUGAGAGGAUGACCAGCCACACUGGAACGGAGACACGGCCCAGACUCCUACGGGAGGCAGCAGUGGGGAAUAUUGCACAAUGGGCGCAAGCCUGAUGCAGCCAUGCCGCGUGUGUGAAGAAGGCCUUCGGGUUGUAAAGCACUUUCAGCAGGGAGGCGUUACCCGCAGAAGAAGCACCGGCUAACUCCGUGCCAGCCGCCGCGGUAAUUC
rnacentral:rRNA from 1 species